GCUUGAGAUCUUGCAGAAUUACCUUCCAGUUUUGGACCGGUCUUCAAGGUAAGAGAUAAAACAUACAGGCAAGGACUCAGACAUCUCCCUGUUCCCCUGGCAACACGAAAACAACACAGACAACAGAGCUGAACUGUGUUAACAUUCUUGAGGAUGAGCAGACAGAUACGACUGAAGUUGAAACAGAGGGGCUCUCCAGAAAUGGCCCCGUAAAUCUCCCCCCCCCCCCAUGUAGGCAUGAUUGCCAGGAAGCCAGAUGUGCUCCAGGGGCAAGGAAAGUCUGACCAGUCUAGCCUUCCCCAAUAUUUUGGACUGCAAAUCCCAUCAGUUGGCCGGGGCUGGUGGAAGUUAUAACUGACACCUGGAAGGGGCAGGUUGGGGGUUCCUGGGCCAAUCCUGCAAAACCUGCUGGAGCCAAGUCAGGAAGCUCAUCAAUGAUGUUGUUAUCAUAAUAGGUAAAGGUAAAGGGACCCCUGACCAUUAGGUCCAGUCCUGGCCGACUCUGGGGUUGCGGCACUCAUCUCACUUUAUUGGCCGAGGGAGCCGGCGUACAGCUUCCAGGUCAUGUGGCCAGCAUGACUAAGCCGCUUCUGGCGAACCAGAGCAGCGCACGGAAACGCCGUUUACCUUGCUGCCGGAGGUAUUUAUCUACUUGCACUUGAUGUGCUUUCGAACUUCUAGGUUGGCAGGAGCAGAGACCGAGCAACAGGAGCUCACCCCAUUGCAGGGAUUCGAACCGCUGACCUUCUGAUUGGCAAGUCCUAGGCUCUGUGGUUGAACCCACAGCGCCACCUGCGUCCCUUGUUAUCAUAAUGCCACUGUGCAAAUCUAUGGUGCAGCUGCAUCUGGAAUGCUGGCCGCCUCACCUCAACAAGGAUACAGCAUUGCAGAAUUGGAAAAGGUUCGGAAAAGGGCCACCAAAAUGAUCGAGGGGAUGGAGCGAAUCCCCAUGAGGGAUGGCGGAAACAUUUGGGAUUUUUUUAGUUCAGAGGGAACACGAUAGAAGCUCAUGUAAUUGUGCAUUGCAAGGAGGAAGUAGGCAGAGAAAUGUUUUCCUCCCUCUCUCCUAACACUAGAGCCUGUGGGCAUCUGAAGAAGCUGAGGGUUGGACGAUACAGGGCAGACAAGAGAAAAUAGUUGUUCUGUCAUUUUGCAGAAUUGGACAAAAUGACAGGAAGGAUUCGAAACCUGCGGGACCAGAGAUUUAAAGAAGAUUGGAAGAAGUAUAUGAAUUAUUUGAAGAGCAACUGUAAUCAACAAAUUGCGCUAGUAGGACCACAAGAAGGUGUGUAAGGAGAAAUAUACGGAGUGUUAACAAAGUAGAAAAAGAUAGAGAUAUUGGUGAUGAGUUUGAAAUGUAAUAGGGAAGAUAAGAAAUGCAUACUAAGAGAUUAGAUUGGAAAAUUUUCAGGCAGGACUGAUGGAAGUAAAAAAAAAAUCGAAUAAGAUGUAAAGGUAUGUUUAAUUACUGUUGAAAAUGAUAUGUUACAAAAAAACUAAUACAAAUAUAUAUAUAUAUAUAUAUAUAUAUAUAUAUAUAUAUAUAUAUUGGUUGUUCAAACAGUUAAAUGGUGGGACUCAGUCCCACAUGAGGCACUGACCCCCACCCCCACCCUGGAUGGAUUUGAAAGGGAAUCAGCCAAAUCCAUGGAAGAGAGAGCAAUUGCUGGCCAGAGGCGGAGCUAGCUGCUCUGGCACCCAGAGCGGGGCACAUGCUGUGCACCCGGGGGCAGGGCCAGCCACCCGUGGGGGUGCCACCUGCGGCAAGUGUCCCAGGGGCAGGGGGUGGCUCCCACGGUCAGCAGCGAGCGUCCCAGGGUGCUGCCUGCAGCGAGCAGUGAGCAGCCCAGGGGAGCAGCCCAGCAAUGCCACCCCCCCUCAGGGAUGGCACCCGGGCCAGACCACCUCCACCACACCCCCUUCCUCCGCCGCUGUUGCCGGUUGCUAGCCGGGAUGCCUCUGCUCAGCCUCCACGAUCAGAGGCAACAGUGGCUCUGGAUGCCAGUUUCUGGAGACCCCAGGAGGAGAGGGGCUCUUGGGCUUGAAUCUUGCUUGAGGGUUUCCCAUAGUAUACCAAUAAAAAAGCACACCAAGAACUCUGGCCAAUAUAAAUUUCAGCAGUGGGAGUGGUCCCUACUCACAAAUCAAUAGUCAAUUGUCUUAAAAACUAAUCCAUUCAAAAGUAUGUAUUCUGACAAGGAUUACAAACUCAAAUAGAGAUUAUAAACUCUAACAGAGAUUACAAACUCAAACUCAUAGGGAUAUGUAUAACACAAUAAUUUGUUACAGAAUUAAAGUCUAAGACCUUCAUAUUGAAUCUGACUACGGACUCACAUGAACUUAUCUCUACUCGUAAACUCUUAUCUGUAAUCUCCAUUUGAGUUUAAAAUCUCUAUUUGAGUUUGUAAACCCUGUCAAUACAUACUUUUGAAUGGAUUAGCUUUUGUUACAAUUGACUAUUGAUUUGCUGAAAUUUAUAUUGGUCAGAGUUCUUGGUGUGCUUUUUUCUUGGUUUCCCAUAAUAGGCAGCUAUUCAGCCACUGUGUGAAUAGGAUGCUGGACUAAUUGGGCAACUGGACUGAUCCAGCAAUAUUCCUCUUAUGCCCCUUUGCUUCCCUCUUUGUUGCUGACUCCCACCACACAAGUCGGGCUCCAAAAGGCGCCCUGCCAUAUUUCAUGAGGAAAGAGCAGAGGGCGAUUCGGACGGUGCUCAGAACUGUCUGCCUGGCUUCCUGCAGUGCCAGCGGGACUUGACAUCUUUCUGCAGGGCCUGCAAGACAGAGCUGUUCUGCCUGGCCUUUGGCUUGGACGCAGUCUGACCCUUAUGUUUUCCCUUCCCUUACGGUUUUGAUCUAUGGGUUACUUUUAACCUGUAUUUUAAAUUGUCGUGCCCCCCCCAUUAUGAUUUUACUGUAAUUUUACUGGUGUUAGCCACCCUGAGCCUGGCUCUGGCUGGGGAGGGAGGGGAAUAAAAAUUAUUAUUAUUAUUAUUAUUAUUAUUAUUAGCUUUUUUGCCACUCUCCAGGAACUCGCCGCAUCCUCCGCCAGCACGUGAGGCGAGGUUUUCUUGGUGAUACGAAUAUCACCGCUUCUCCAUGAGGUUAAUUUAAUUUCCUUUCUCGUCCUUUGCCUUUCCUCAGCGCAGAUUUCCCCCUGAAAGCUGAGAUGCCAAGACUGGAAGUCUCGCUUCCUUCCUACCCAUCCUGCAGGCGCACACCUGAAGUUCUCAUUAUGCCGAAACCAAAAGCAAGUUGAGGUUCACAGCCGGUGUGGAUGCAAGGACUGCCAAAUCGCUCGCAGCCUUCUUAGUAACACACUUGUGGUUAUUUAGCAUUAUUUAAUUCACCGUAUUCACAUGCUGUUUCCUUCAAGGAACUCAAAGUGGCCUCCGUGGCUAAAAUGACUGAAUAUUUACAUCUUGCAAAACUAACAGGGAAAGGAACAGGAAACACUGUUCAAAAAGUUAAUAAAGAAUGGUUAACCUUUGAAGAAUAUCUUAAAAACUAUAUGGACAACGCAAAUCUCAUAGCAGAUUCAGACUAAAUCUUGUAAACAGAGGGAGGAUACGGUAAAAUAUGUAUAGACAAACAAAAGGAAUGUGGAAGAACAUGUGUAUGGAGUUAAGAUUGAUAACAUAGCAUUGAGAGGAAAGUCAAAUGUGUGUGAUGUGAUGUCCAAUGUAAGGUAUGAGGGCAAGUAUUGUAUAAAAUGUAUGUACUGUGUACUGUGCAAUAUUUAUUGAGUUUUAUGUCAUUAAUGUGUGAU